rnacentral:rRNA from 1 species
CGUAACAAGGUUUCCGUAGGUGAACCUGCGGAAGGAUCAUUACCGAGUGUAGGGUUCCUAGCGAGCCCAACCUCCCACCCGUGUUUACUGUACCUUAGUUGCUUCGGCGGGCCCGCCAUUCAUGGCCGCCGGGGGCUCUCAGCCCCGGGCCCGCGCCCGCCGGAGACACCACGAACUCUGUCUGAUCUAGUGAAGUCUGAGUUGAUUGUAUCGCAAUCAGUUAAAACUUUCAACAAUGGAUCUCUUGGUUCCGGCAUCGAUGAAGAACGCAGCGAAAUGCGAUAACUAGUGUGAAUUGCAGAAUUCCGUGAAUCAUCGAGUCUUUGAACGCACAUUGCGCCCCCUGGUAUUCCGGGGGGCAUGCCUGUCCGAGCGUCAUUGCUGCCCAUCAAGCACGGCUUGUGUGUUGGGUCGUCGUCCCCUCUCCGGGGGGGACGGGCCCCAAAGGCAGCGGCGGCACCGCGUCCGAUCCUCGAGCGUAUGGGGCUUUGUCACCCGCUCUGUAGGCCCGGCCGGCGCUUGCCGAACGCAAAUCAAUCUUUUUCCAGGUUGACCUCGGAUCAGGUAGGGAUACCCGCUGAACUUAAGCAUAUCA